AGCCGCCUUCGAAUCCCAUUGUCUCUCAAAUAUGCUAGAAGUUUCUUCGGAACCCUAACCGUCUCUAACCCUUUUUCCACCAUACUUUCACUUGAAUCCAUAGCUUGAGAGCCAUGGAUGGUCUAUACUCACCCCCCUUUCACCAUUAGACCAUGUUUGCUCGAAUCUUUGAGGCCUGACCUUGAUGGUUCUCCUCAAGACCUUCUUAAAUCAAAGGUUAUAUGGCCUCUCUAGCAUGUGCUCCGGCAUAUUCAAGCACUAAAGGUCCUAAUUCGACCUCUCCGACUCAAGAUCGGGCAUUCUUCCAAGCCUUUUUCAUUUCUAGGGAUUCUCCGAAAUCCUAAGCUACUCGAAAUUUUUUCUCUAUUUUUUCCUAUAUCUAUGUUGUAUCUGUGAUUUACUCGACUUUUAAGGUAUUUUUCCCAAUUUUUCUUUUCAAAAUCAUUUGUUUUCAAUUCAAGGUUUUUCAAAAUAUCUUUCUGAUUCUUUCUAUUCUUCUCUUUAUGUGUGUUACUCUAUGUUAUGCUCAUAUGUUUUCUUUUCUAUCACGCAUGCGUUUGCCCUUCUUCUUUUCUUUCUAUUAUACAUAAUUCUUCUAUUUAGCCGUAUUUUACUGUGCCUCCAGAACAGGCUAGUAUGAUUAUCUCUGCUAUGUUUUCCUACAUUAUUUCUAUCGUAUGUGUUCUGCUGAGUUCUUUAAUUUUGUGUGCUUUAAUGGACUUUGUCCGAGUUUUUCUAAGCAUGUUUCUUUUACUGCUGCUUAAGUUUACACCACCUCUUUUCUUCUGAACUUGCUUAAGUUCUAAAUUUUCUAAAACAUGCUCUUUUAAGUUCUUAAAUUAGCUUUCUUUCUUUGUUAUUUCAAACCUUCUAUCAUAUCAUUUGGUUUCUCAUGAGUCUCUGAAAGAGACCUCUGAGUCUGUUUCAAUGGUUUGUCCUCUCCUCUCUAUAUUUGAUUCGAGAUGAAACCUAGAGUUUGAGGAGGUUUCUUGGUAAGUUCUAUUUUUUGUUUGGACUAGGGUUCUACUUUUAAACCCCCAAGUCCAAGACUCAUUUAGAGUCUAUAGAUUGGACCUGAACCUUUUUAUGAUUGUUUUUAUGAUAAUCUUCUCUAACCAGCAUGACAACUCCUUCUUGUUGAUAUUUGUGUUCUUUAUAUAUGAUAAGUUUUUCUUUCAAAAAAAGUUCUUGUCAAUUAUUGAUUGAUUUUUGAAUUUUUUAGUAAGGUUUUAUUGAUUUUUAUUGAUUUUCCUUCGAUAUAACCCUUUCCUCUCUUUUCCUGGCUUGGUUCAUUCGAACAAAGCUGGCAAUAUUGGAUUCUACUGACUUUUGAUUCUCAUACCACCUUGAACCUUCAGUUGGACACCUUCAAGUCACAUUACUCACACACCUACAUAUCAGUACUUCUUUGAAUUCAAUACUCGAGCAGACAUAAUUCACAUGCAAUUAGAAUACACUUGCAACAUUCUGCUCUCUUCUUAGAUCCUUUGAACUGUUUUCCUGCGACUUGAAUUUUUCCUCAACAAUACUAUUCUACUUGUUUGGUUUCCCUGAAACUGGUAUGUUCUAAUUUAACUUUUCAGCUUACCCCUAUGUGUGUACUUUAUAGUUUCAACAUUCUUGUAUACUUUGUUAUUAUGUUUAAUAUUGACAAUGCAUGUUCUUCUCUCUACAUCUGCUGUUUGUUGUGAAUUCCCAUACCCUUACUCCCUUCUAUGCGUUUGAUUUAAGAUUCACGGGCAGACAGUAUCCAAAUUAAUGCUCAGGUCUGAACCUGAUCCUCAAUGGGUCCUAACUCCCAAAUUUGCCUAACAGGCUAGUCAGGGGUGUGUCAGCACUCCUAAUUGUUAGGUAUGAUCACCAGCCUACCAGGACCUUCCUAGAAUCCCGUCUAUUGUACAUACACCCAUUCCUAGUUUCUAUGUUAUGCCCCCCUCCUAUGAACCUUGCUUUGGGACCGUGAGUUCCCUCUGAACUUUGACAUUUUUGUGUUGAGCCUUCACACUGCACUAUAAUUAAUUCUGCAAUGUAUUUGGGUGUAAGCAUUGCCUGAAGUCCACUUGAGACUCUUGGUAACUUUGACACACCUAAAAAUGAGCAAGGCUUUUGAAAU
rnacentral:lncRNA from 1 species